CCUACGGGUGGCAGCAGUGGGGAAUAUUGCACAAUGGGGGAAACCCUGAUGCAGCGACGCCGCGUGAGCGAAGAAGUAUUUCGGUAUGUAAAGCCCUAUCAGCAGGGAAGAAGAAAUGACGGUACCUGAGUAAGCAGCACCGGCUAAAUACGUGCCAGCAGCCGCGGUAAUACGUAGGGGGCAAGCGUUAUCCGGAUUUACUGGGUGUAAAGGGAGCGCAGGCGGCAGGGCAAGGCUGGUGUGAAAGCCCGCGGCCCAACCGCGGGACUGCAUUGGAAACUACCGGGCUGGAGUGCCGGAGAGGUAGGCGGAAUUCCUAGUGUAGCGGUGAAAUGCGUAGAUAUUAGGAGGAACACCAGUGGCGAAGGCGGCUUACUGGACGGUGACUGACGCUGAGGCUCGAAAGCGUGGGGAGCAAACAGGAUUAGAUACCCGAGUAGUC
rnacentral:rRNA from 1 species